rnacentral:rRNA from 1 species
GGCGGCGUGCUUAACACAUGCAAGUCGAACGGAAAGGCCCUGCUUUUGUGGGGUGCUCGAGUGGCGAACGGGUGAGUAACACGUGAGUAACCUGCCCUUGACUUUGGGAUAACUUCAGGAAACUGGGGCUAAUACCGGAUAGGAGCUCCUGCUGCAUGGUGGGGGUUGGAAAGUUUCGGCGGUUGGGGAUGGACUCGCGGCUUAUCAGCUUGUUGGUGGGGUAGUGGCUUACCAAGGCUUUGACGGGUAGCCGGCCUGAGAGGGUGACCGGCCACAUUGGGACUGAGAUACGGCCCAGACUCCUACGGGAGGCAGCAGUGGGGAAUAUUGCACAAUGGGCGAAAGCCUGAUGCAGCAACGCCGCGUGCGGGAUGACGGCCUUCGGGUUGUAAACCGCUUUCGCCUGUGACGAAGCGUGAGUGACGGUAAUGGGUAAAGAAGCACCGGCUAACUACGUGCCAGCAGCCGCGGUGAUACGUAGGGUGCGAGCGUUGUCCGGAUUUAUUGGGCGUAAAGGGCUCGUAGGUGGUUGAUCGCGUCGGAAGUGUAAUCUUGGGGCUUAACCCUGAGCGUGCUUUCGAUACGGGUUGACUUGAGGAAGGUAGGGGAGAAUGGAAUUCCUGGUGGAGCGGUGGAAUGCGCAGAUAUCAGGAGGAACACCAGUGGCGAAGGCGGUUCUCUGGGCCUUUCCUGACGCUGAGGAGCGAAAGCGUGGGGAGCGAACAGGCUUAGAUACCCUGGUAGUCCACGCUGUAAACGGUGGGUACUAGGUGUGGGGUCCAUUCCACGGGUUCCGUGCCGUAGCUAACGCUUUAAGUACCCCGCCUGGGGAGUACGGCCGCAAGGCUAAAACUCAAAGGAAUUGACGGGGCCCCGCACAAGCGGCGGAGCAUGCGGAUUAAUUCGAUGCAACGCGUAGAACCUUACCUGGGUUUGACAUGGAUCGGGAGUGCUCAGAGAUGGGUGUGCCUCUUUUGGGGUCGGUUCACAGGUGGUGCAUGCCUGUCGUCAGCUCGUGUCGUGAGAUGUUGGGUUAAGUCCCGCAACGAGCGCAACCCUUGUUCACUGUUGCCAGCACGUUAUGGUGGGGACUCAGUGGAGACCGCCGGGGUCAACUCGGAGGAAGGUGGGGAUGACGUCAAGUCCUCAUGCCCCUUAUGUCCAGGGCUUCACGCAUGCUACAAUGGCUGGUACAGAGAGUGGCGAGCCUGUGAGGGUGAGCGAAUCUCGGAAAGCCGGUCCCAGUUCGGAUUGGGGUCUGCAACUCGACCUCAUGAAGUCGGAGUCGCUAGUAAUCGCAGAUCAGCAACGCUGCGGUGAAUACGUUCCCGGGGCUUGUACACACCGCCCGUCAAGUCAUGAAAGUUGGUAACACCCGAAGCCGGUGGCCUAACCGUUGUGGGGGAGCCGUCGAAGGUGGGACUGGUGAUUAGGACUAAGUCGU